GACGAACGCUGGCGGCGUGCCUAAUACAUGCAAGUUGAGCGCUGAAGGUUGGUACUUGUACCAACUGGAUGAGCAGCGAACGGGUGAGUAACGCGUGGGGAAUCUGCCUUUGAGCGGGGGACAACAUUUGGAAACGAAUGCUAAUACCGCAUAAAAACUUUAAACACAAGUUUUAAGUUUGAAAGAUGCAAUUGCAUCACUCAAAGAUGAUCCCGCGUUGUAUUAGCUAGUUGGUGAGGUAAAGGCUCACCAAGGCGAUGAUACAUAGCCGACCUGAGAGGGUGAUCGGCCACAUUGGGACUGAGACACGGCCCAAACGCCUACGGGAGGCAGCAGUAGGGAAUCUUCGGCAAUGGACGAAAGUCUGACCGAGCAACGCCGCGUGAGUGAAGAAGGUUUUCGGAUCGUAAAACUCUGUUGGUAGAGAAGAACGUUGGUGAGAGUGGAAAGCUCAUCAAGUGACGGUAACUACACAGAAAGGGACGGCUAACUACGUG
rnacentral:rRNA from 1 species